CAAACGAGGCUCUACCUGUCUCUUACAAAUAAUCAGUGAAAUUGAUCUUCCCGUGCAAAAGCGGGGAUAACACUAUAAGACGAGAAGACCCUGUGGAACUUCAAAUAUAAAAUCAACUAUCACCAACACCCACCCACGGGCCUUAUACCAAAUAGCACCUGAUUUUUAUUUUCGGUUGGGGCGACCUCGGAACAAAACAAAACCUCCGAAAAAUAAAAAACCCUUUAAACCUAGAACAACAGUUCAAAGUGCUUCCGGCAAAACGAUCCAAUACACUUGAUCAACGAACCAAGCUACCCCAGGGAUAACAGCGCAAUCCCAUCCUAGAGUCCCUAUCGACGAUGGGGUUUACGACCUCGAUGUUGGAUCAGGACAUCCUAAUGGUGUAGCCGCUAUUAAGGGUUCGUUUGUUCAACGAUUA
rnacentral:rRNA from 1 species